GUUAGUUUACCCUUAAAUGAAAUAAACAGUAGGGAGUGGGAUUUUUUUGUUUUCUUAUGUUCUUAUCCGCUUUCCCGUCGCCGUAAUCAGACACGCAAUUCAAGGCAUUAUCUAACACGCAACCAACGAUGAUGACGAAACCCAUUUACCAAAACCAGAUCCAUGUUGAAAAUAUUUUUUUUAUAUAACCAUUUCCAAAAUUGCAAUAAAAUUUAUUCAUCUUCUCUUUUGAAUCUUUCCCUUUCUUUCCUUUUCCUGUAAAAAUGGAGGGUUCCUCGUCUGACAAGCUGAUCGUUGUGACCCGUGAACCUGAAGGGAUCGCUACUGUUACCAUCAAUCGACCCAAAUCUCUCAACUCCUUGACCCGGCCCAUGAUGGUGGACUUGGCCAAGGCUUUCAAGGCUCUUGCGAAGGACAACUCGGUGCGGGUCAUCAUCUUGUCUGGAGCUGGACGGGCUUUCUGUUCAGGCGUGGAUUUGACGGCUGCACAAGAUGUUUUCAAGGGUGACGUUAAGGACCCGGAGGCGGAUCCGGUUGUUCAGAUGGAGCAAUGCCCCAAACCCAUCAUCGGAGCUAUCAACGGCCUUGCUAUUACUGCCGGCUUCGAGAUCGCCCUCGCUUGUGAUAUGCUGGUCGCUGCUAAGGGAGCCGCUUUCGUUGAUACUCACGCCAGAUUUGGGAUAUUUCCUUCAUGGGGUUUAUCCCAGAAGCUUGCACGCUUUAUAGGACCAAACAAGGCUCGCGAAGUGUCGUUGGCAGCCAUGCCUUUGUCAGCAGAGGAAGCUGAGAAAUUGGGGUUUGUCAAUUAUAUUGUUGACCAAAAUGAAGUGUUGAAUAAAGCUCGACAACUUGCAGGAGCAAUUAUGAAGAACAGUCAAGACUUGGUUCUCAGGUACAAGUCUGUGAUCAAUGAUGGGUACAAAUUGGAUCUCCGUCAGGGUCUCGCCAUAGAAAAACUACAUAAUGAAAAGAAAGUAAUCAAAGCUAUGCAAUACAAGAAUAAAAGAAAGUGAAAAAGAUUGUAUUCCAUGUGUCUUUACAUGGUAUCUUAGCCCUGCUAACGUCGUCUUCGCACGGUUAAUGGAGAGGGGUCAUGAAUACUACGAUGGAAUGACACCGGAGCAGUUUAAGAAGAUGCAAGAAUUCAUAGCUAGGCGGAGUUCCAAGAAACCAUCUUCCAAGUUGUAAUAUGAUCUCCUCCAUGCAUCUUCUGACUUGUUGUUUAGUCACUGUUUUAUAAUGAAAACAUAAUGUGGGGAAAUAAAUUUGGUGGUUACUGGACUCUUACUAAUACAUAAGUAUCAGUUCUGUAUAAUGAGUUAUAUGGUUUUUAACAUGAUAAAACCAUGUUUGGAAUGUAUUAAUUUACUUUCUUCUUCUAUCUUUAGUUACGACUAAGCCUUCUUCAA